CACGUAGGGGGCAAGCGUUGUCCGGAUUUAUUGGGCGUAAAGAGCUCGUAGGCGGCUCAGUAAGUCAGGUGUGAAACCUCCAGGCUCAACCUGGAGACGCCACCUGAUACUGCUGUGGCUAGAGUCCGGUAGGGGAGCGUGGAAUUCCUGGUGUAGCGGUGAAAUGCGCAGAUAUCAGGAAGAACACCAAUGGCGAAGGCAGCUCUCUGGGACGGUACUGACGCUGAGACGCGAAAGCGUGGGGAGCGAACAGG
rnacentral:rRNA from 1 species